UAAGCCAUAAUUUAAAAAAAAAUAUUUAACUUGCACUUAAAAAAUGCUUAAUUUAAGCUGGCUUCA
rnacentral:tRNA from 1 species